GUAAAUAUAGUUUAACCAAAACAUUAGAUUGGGGAUCUAACCAUAGAGGCCUGCACUUUUUAUUUACC
rnacentral:tRNA from 1 species